GGCUGGUUUUUUGGCUAAUAUUCCCACUGGUUCAGACCUGAAAUUUCAGUGUGCAGACCCAGUCCCAGCCCCGCAGUCUUUGGUGCUUUUCCAGGCCGAUUCAGAGCAGGUUUUCCCGCUUCCGGAGGCUGGUUUCUCUGCUGUAAUUGAGCAGUCCGCUGCAGCAGUCAACAACGCUGUGUCGGCUGGUUCUUCGGCCAAUAUCUGCACUGGUUCAGACCUGAAAAUUCAGUGUGCAGACCCAGUCCCAGGCCCGCAAUUUUUCGAGCUUUUCCAGGCCGACUCAGAGCAGGUUUCUCCGUCUCCGAAGGCUGGUUUUUC
rnacentral:lncRNA from 1 species